ACCGGCUCUUUUCAUCUUCACGGCCACCCACAGAAAUGAAGCAGAGUGGCCUAGGCUCACAGUGCACAGGGCUGUUCAGCACCACAGUGCUGGGUGGCUCCUCCAGUGCCCCGAAUCUUCAGGACUACGCCCGCAGCCAUGGCAAAAAGCUACCACCUGCCAGUCUGAAGCACCGAGAUGGGUUUGAAGGGUGUUCCAUGGUGCCUACCAUCUACCCUCUGGAAACACUGCAUAAUGCCCUUUCCCUACGUCAAGUGAGUGAAUUCUUGAGUAGAGUCUGCCAGCGCCACACUGAUGCCCAGGCACAGGCAUCUGCAGCUACUUGGGAGGCUGAGGCAGGAGGAUCACCUGAACCUGGAAGGUCAAGACUGCAGUGAGCCAUGAUUGCACCACUGUACUCCAGCCUGGGCAACAGAGUGAAACCCUGUCUUGCUUAAAAAAAAAAAAACAAACAACUCAGGGUGCGGUGGCUCACACCUGUAAUCCCAACACUUUGGGAGGCCGAGGCAGGCAGAUUGCUUAAGCUCACGAGUUCAAGACCAGCCUGAUCAGCAUGGAGAAACCCUGUCUCUACAAAAAAUUAAAAGAAAAAAAAAA
rnacentral:sRNA from 1 species